rnacentral:rRNA from 1 species
UGCCAGCCGCCGCGGUAACACGGGGGGCGCAAGCGUUAUUCGGAAUUACUGGGCGUAAAGCGAGUGUAGGCGGCUAGGCAAGUCGGAUGUGAAAUCCCAGGGCCCAACCCUGGAACUGCAUCCGAAACUGCUUGGCUUGAGUCCCGGAGAGGAUGGCGGAAUUUCCGGUGUAGAGGUGAAAUUCGUAGAUACCGGAAGGAACACCAGUGGCGAAGGCGGCCAUCUGGACGGUGACUGACGCUGAGACUCGAAAGCGUGGGGAGCAAACAGGAUUAGAUA